rnacentral:rRNA from 1 species
UAGUUAUAUGCUUGUCUCAAAGAUUAAGCCAUGCAUGUGAAAGUUCAUCCUUUUGAAUGAGAAACUGCGAAUGGCUCAUUAAAUCAGUUAUGAUCUACGCGAGCGAACAACCACAUGGAUAACCGUGGUAAUUCUAGAGCUAAUACAUGCGUAAAGGGUCCUUCGGGAUUCGCACUUAUUAGAUAAAGCCAACGUAAGGGUAAAACCUUUCGCCUUGGUGAAUCAUAAUAAUUUGGUGAUCGUGUAUGCGACACUCGCUCGAUUUUCUGCCCUAUCAU